AGCUUUAUGCAGUGGCAGUAUUGCAGCCAGUGAGGUUUAUCCGAAGCAUAACUAGUGCUAGUUGAAAACUUUUCUCAAAGAAAUGUAAAUUUAAAACACUUACAUAAUUUAACUGGAAUAUGUAAACUU
rnacentral:snRNA from 1 species